rnacentral:rRNA from 1 species
CAGUCGCCGCGGUAAUACGGAGGGAGCUAGCGUUGUUCGGAAUUACUGGGCGUAAAGCGCGCGUAGGCGGUUACUCAAGUCAGAGGUGAAAGCCCGGGGCUCAACCCCGGAACUGCCUUUGAAACUAGGUGACUAGAAUCUUGGAGAGGUCAGUGGAAUUCCGAGUGUAGAGGUGAAAUUCGUAGAUAUUCGGAAGAACACCAGUGGCGAAGGCGACUGACUGGACAAGUAUUGACGCUGAGGUGCGAAAGCGUGGGGAGCAAACAGGAUUAGAUACCCGAGUAGUCCCUGUCUCUUAUAA